rnacentral:rRNA from 1 species
GACGAACGCUGGCGGCGUGCCUAACACAUGCAAGUCGAACGGUGAAGAGAGGCUUUUGCUCUUCUUCGGUGAGGUGCGAGUGGGUGAGUCACGUGUAUGUACCCUGCCUUGUAGCGGGAGAUCACUAUUGGAGACGUUAUCUAACACCGUAUAAGAUUGUGCGACACAUGGCACUUAGUACAAAUUGGUAUUUGCUGAACUUCAGGACGGUUCUGCAGUGUAUUGGUUAGUAGGUGAGGUAAAGGCCCAUCUAGGCGUCGAUACAUAGCCGACCUGAGCGGGAGAUCCGCCACACUGGGACUGGGACACGGCCCAGACGCCUACAGGAAGGAGCAAGAGGGAAACUUCGGCAAUAGGGGCAACCCUGACCGAGCAACGCCGCGGGAGGGAAGAAGGUUGUCGGGUCGGAAAGCUCGGUUGUAAGGCAAGAAAGGGUGUGAGAGUGGAAAGUUCACGCUGUGACGGUAGCGUACCAGAAAGCAACGGCUAACUACGUG